AUGGAAGAAAAAUAGCGCCGCUGAGGUGAUUGUGCCUCCCUGUUUUGAUUCCUAUGCUUUCCCUUGGUUUAGUGGUCACUGGCUGAAAUUUCCCCAAAGGAAGGGAUUCUUCCCAGAAAAGAAGGGAAAGAUAGCUCCGAUUAACGACAUGCCUUAAACCAACCAAAGGUGCGAGUGUCCCAGUCUUCACUGAAGCAGACCAGAUUCUAAAUCUUCAUACUUUGUACGAUUUCCAGCCAGUCUGUUGUCAGCUGCAACUGGUUCUUUUCAUCUUUUGUGGUAAAUGUCAGGUUUCAGAGCUGAAACUUGCAGCGUGUUUUGAAGGCAGCCAAGAAGGAACUUUAAUGGCUCUCCUGGAAGUUGUUCAAAAGCCGCUCCCAUUGACUGCAUCGGACAUUGUAUAAGGCCCCAAAAGCAACUUCCAGGGAGGUAGAAGGUAAGGGAUAAUAAUUUGAAUACUAUAGGCCUGUAUUAAGAAUGCUUCUGGAAGGCGACAUUAAAACUUCCAAGUGUAUCUUUUAGCCAUACAAAAAAUAUA
rnacentral:lncRNA from 1 species